ncrna:unclassified sequences LOOT RNA
GACCUAAACCGCACCUUGUGCGGCAUGGUUGAAUAAUCCACAAAGAGAAACAGCUCGUCAUGAGUACUUCUCUUUGUGGUCGCGUUGGGAAACCUUCGCGGGUGGUCGAAAGACUGCC